CCCGAUAACGCUACAGAACAGAACUUACCAAAUGUGUCCACCUCUAUGCUGGCUCUUUUGGGUUCUGUAAAAGCUGGAUGCUCAACCACACAGAGAAGAUGUCGCCUCUUGGAAGGGCACCAGAGAUCUCCCAUCUAAUCACAGCUUCAGGCUUGGCUCCAGAGGCAGAGCAAGUGACAGCAUGGUAGAGGGUCCCAUUCACAACUUCCUUUUCCACAGUUAUGUCAACAUCAGGCCGAGCUUAGAGACAAAUCAGAGGAUGAACAAGAAUGAGAGUAGCCUGCUCUGCAACCUUUAAAUCCAAGCUGCAGUGGGAGUCCCAGUUUCUGAACUGAGAACAUGUGAACAACACUUAAGUAGUUACAGGAGAGCACGGUGAACAAUACCCUGAUAAUUAUUUAAUGCUGUCACUCAUCCUUUCAGAGGAGUUACAGUGGGGCCCAAAAGUUUGAGGCCCAAUUUCUGGGAUGUAGAAUCUGAAUUCAGAAUCUUCUGCAUUGUUAUGCCUUAAAGGAACUAUUACGAUUGCUCAAUGCACUGCAAAUGAAAAAAAAAAAACACCAAAAAAACCCACAUGCAAACAGAAAAAACACAAGCAAAUUAACUAAACAUCUUCAGCAGUUUGACAGCACAUGUGCUGCAAAUACUCAAAACGCAAAAAAGAAAAGAAAAACACAAACACUGUAAAUUUGCACAGACCACACUGGAAAUGUUUAAGGAAACCGCAAAUUUCUUGUGACAAACUUCUGACAUGCUUAUCAGUGACCACUUUGAAAGGUGAGAUUUUUUUUUAAACAUCCUGAUCAUAUGACUCCUUCACUUUUUUGGAUAUUA